rfam:Trachymyrmex cornetzi contig41974, whole genome shotgun sequence.
CAAACGGCCCUUUUCAGGGCCAACCAUACACCAUACAAAAAUACAU